AAGGAAAGAUCAGAAUUGGAUACGUGGUUUCUGUUUUUACAAAGGCUCUUAGCAGCUUCAGCUUUGGGAACCCAAUCUCGUUGUCCCUUCAAACUAAAGCAUAACAAAACCUAGGAAGGUAAAUUGAAUACACACAGGCAUGAACACACAAAUGUACACAUGCGCACACACAUUUUCCUAAGGCAAGCAGUGAGUUUCAAAGUCAAAUAUUAGCAAUUAAAAUCUAAGUAAUCAAACAUUAUGUUGGGCAUUCAUGUCUUAAUGCCAGGAAAUUAAAAUUGAAUAAUUUUCAAACAAAUAGUCACUAUUCAGUAGGUACAGAAAGUAACCUUUCCUCUAUCAAAAAUGUUAAUGGAUGUGUCUGUUAGCUUGAUAAUAUCAAAAUAUGGAAAUACACUUUUGGAGGAAAUGGGUCUUUGGGAGCUUGUCUAAUUGGAAUUUUUCAAAAUCUAUAAACAAAGUAAGUUCCAAGGUCAUUAAAAAAUAAAUAGGGGCAUUAAAAACAGGGAAAAGUAGGAAUCUGUGGUUAAUGUUGACCACAUGGCACAGACACUACUUUGUCAAUAUCUUUUCUAGAUUCCUACCCAAUCGGGGCUAACUUUUACUGUCCUGUAGCAAUAUUAGGAGAGUAAUGCUCUGAUUCAAACUUGCUAGUCUUACCAGGUGAGUGAGCAGGGAGCAGGUGAAGAAGAAAGGAUAGAGCAUUUCUGAUGGUUAUUUGCAAAGCUGAAGAGUUUAACAGUUCUGUGUCAUUUGCUAACCGCAGAGACCACAGUUGUGGGGAAAAAAAAAGUCCCACUUAAGAAGAGCAGUUUCCCCAGGUGGUUACUUGAACUGUGGAUGUCCUAAGUCCUUUUUUUCUAUCAAUGCUUUGUUUCUUUGCGAGGUAGGAGGUAAGGGUAGAUGGAUGGUUAAUUUAUCUUAGAAAGUCCCAAGUACUUAUGAAACAAAACUUAGUCUUAAAAUAACAUAGGAUCAUACACACACACACACACACACACACACACACAUAUAUAUAUAUAUAUAUGCAAACCUUUUCAUUAGUGCCCAUGGGUUUUGCUAUAAGUCCACAGGUCCUGAAGUGCCCAUUGACCUCAAGUUACUCUCAUAACAGCCACAGGGAAGUGAAAGAUAAGACUCCGAGCUCUAUAUCUCUGGACUUUGAGUUAGGUUAGUUGACAUUACCCAGCCUAUACAUUUUUUAGUGGAAAAAAAAUGUAUGUAGGGGAAAAGAAUCACCAAAGGUUAGUCAUUCCAUGGGAAUCUUCCAUCUGGCUCCAUUUUUAGCAGCAGUCAUUUUUACAUGGCAUAGACCUUGUCCUUGUUAGAUAAGUUUGCCUGUCAUUUAUACAGUCUGUGAGCUUGAAUGUAUACAGAUCUAGAUACUUAUUUCAACAUAUACCCUCAGAGUUGACUUUACAUCCACGUCCAUUGCCUAGAGGUAUCUAGACUGUGUACACACAAGUGUGUACAGACGUGCUUAAUACAUACAUAAAUUGUAAUCUGUUACAAUAAAUAAAUUUAAAAUCAUCAUGCAACAUGUAUGUGAUAUUUUGACAAUGUACCUUGUCUUUGUUGUUUCUUGUAAUGCUGAAAACCAAAGUGUGGAGAUGUAAGCGAAGGAUCCCCCCCAUCUUCAUCCAUCACGAUACUUGAAAUCACUUUUAGUUGGGUGCAGCCACGACAAACAACUUUAGGUGGAAUGUUGGAUAUUAUUUCACUGUCUGUGUUAGAUGUUUAAUGACUUUGGUUGAAUAGCUUUAUUCUGGAUCUCUCAUAACUAAAGCGAAAUCCAAAGACCUUAAAAAGAACAAAAAAGGGGGGAACUGGGGGUGAUGUGGAAUAAAGUACAAACCAAUGGCAGAAAGUGGGGUCUGGUUCCAGGGUUGAAAGAACAAAGGUGUGGUCUUGUGGAGGUUGUGUUAGCUAGUUGGGUGUGUGUGUGUGUGUGAUGAUUUUUCCUCCAUGUUUGUCACAUCAAAGUGGUCUUUAAUGUGAUAAAGCUUUAGACGUUAUACUUUGCUGCUUUAUUUUAUUUAGACUUUAGAAUGAAAUGAUCCAUUUUUGUCCACCAAAUAAAAAAAGAAAGAAAGAAAAAGAAAAAGAAGACCACCUCUCCCCACCCCUCAGCUGUAUUUUAACGUUUCUCUUUCAGUUGUGACCCAACGAGCUGUUAAUAUAAUUAAUUUAUUUUAAUUAGUUUUUGUAUGCUAGCAUGUAGGAUUCGGGUAAUUAUUUAAUUUUCCUUUUUUAGUUUGAUUUUACUCCUUGUUCUUAUUUAUCAAAAUCUGUAGCAGUGGUGCAUCUGAGAUGCAAAACCCUGGCUGCUAUACAGCUCUAGUGUAGCGUGCUUCAUAAAGCGGUGAACUUCUGUUACAGGGAAGAAACAUAGGUUACAAUGAAAACGAAAAACAAUCUGGGUGUAUUUCCCGUCUUGGAUUAAUUUAUAAAAUGGUUUAAUGGUUAUUAAAUUAUUUAAUUUAAGUUCACAGCCCCACUUGGUACCAGGCGAAUUUCACCUCUUAAUUACCGGGGCCCUCAGAGCCUUUCUAUUGUAACUUAUUUAUUUAACUUAUUCAGCAUCUGCGACGGAUGCGCUGUAUAGUUUGCGUUUAUUAUUUAAAACAACAGAGAGCACUGCGGUUUGUUUGCUGUCAGAACAACAGAGCAGAUUUGUGGACAAGCAGUGACUGAUCAGCCUGAACCUGCUUCAGAACUCAAGCUGAGAUCCAACGUCAUCAGCCCGGAUUUUCGGGGCUUCUAUAAAGGAAACUGG
rnacentral:lncRNA from 1 species